UCCUGUCUUUGGUUAUCUAGCUGUAUGAGUGUUGACUCUCCAUCAUAAAGCUAGAUAACCGAAAGUAGGAAUGACCUCCAAGUCUUCUGGCCUUCUCCACAGCCAAGAGGAAUGCUUAAAGGAAAAGAAGCAAGACAUUAUGUGGUUUUAUAGAUGAAGCAAUGAUGAGACUCAGUCAAGGCAUCUGAAUGAAAGGACCAGUGAAGAUUUGGCCAUCAUGUUGAAAUUGGACGUUGGGUCUAGAAGGCCAGUGACAACUUGUCUGAAGAUGAAGGACACAUCGAGCUGAAUCCAGAUUGAACCCUGAUGCAAAAUUAACAAUAGGAAAGAGAAAGACAGCUUUCUUGUAAAGUUAGUAAAGUGUAUUUCUUUAUUUUUU